rnacentral:rRNA from 1 species
UACGUAGGCAGCAAGCGUUGUUCGGAGUUACUGGGCGUAAAGGGUGCGUAGGCGGUUUGGUAAGUCUGAUGUGAAAUCUAUGGGCUCAACUCAUAGUCUGCAUCGGAAACUGCCGGGCUUGAGUAUGGGAGAGGUGAGUGGAAUUCCUGGUGUAGCGGUGAAAUGCGUAGAUAUCAGGAGGAACACCUGUGGCGAAAAGCGGCUCACUGGACCAUAACUGACGCUGAUGCACGAAAGCUAGGGGAGCAAACAGG